UACGUAGGGGGCGAGCGUUGUCCGGAUUUAUUGGGCGUAAAGAGCUCGUAGGCGGUUUGGUAAGUCGGGUGUGAAAUCUCCACGCUCAACGUGGAGGGGCCACUCGAUACUGCCAUGACUCGAGUCCGGUAGAGGAGUGUGGAAUUCCUGGUGUAGCGGUGAAAUGACGCAGAUAUCAGGAGGAACACCGGUGGCGAAGGCGGUUCUCUGGGCCGAUACUGACGCUGGAGGAGCGAAAGCGUGGGGAGCGAACAGG
rnacentral:rRNA from 1 species